ACCUAGGUAGUUUAAUAAAGGGCGCUACACCGAAGCUGUAGAAGUGGCAUUUUUGUCCCUGGGUG
rnacentral:tRNA from 1 species